UCUAUUAUCCCACCUCUCUCCUCUCCCAAGGUGCUCAGGAGGAGGAAUGACCCAGCGAAGAACAGGGCCGCGAUAUCAGAAAGCAUACCACAGAUAACUAUUUCAAAGGAAUUGAGAAAGGUCAACUAAGUGCCAUUAUGAAGCCUGUCAUGUUGAGAAGCUGCCAGCCUCUGUGGUGAUACCAGAGCUAAAGUACUAAGAUUAAAGGAGCCACACAAAUGACGUCAGCCCUGGAAGGAAGAAUGAAGAAGGAAAUUGAGGCAUUCUGGGCAAUGCAAGGCACUCCAGGACUGAGAGAGGCAAGCAGACCCAUUCUGGGACCCGGGAGGCCUAGGCUUUGAUUGACAUUCUCCUUUAGCUGCAGAUGCUGCCCAGCUCUAAUCUCAUCUUGGUCUGUGUAGGAAAGGCACAAAGUUGCUUCUCUGCUCUUCACUCACUAUCCUCAUCUCUGUUCUUCAUAUCAUUUUCACCUCUCUUGCUUGUCUUCACAUUUUGUUCAUUUAUAGGGAAAGAGGAAUCGUAUUAGAAAAACAUAUGGAAAAAUAAACAAUUUUCCUUCCCAGUGA